AGAUUGAACGCUGGCGGCAGGCCUAACACAUGCAAGUCGAGCGGUAGAGAGGUGCUUGCACCUCUUGAGAGCGGCGGACGGGUGAGUAAAGCCUAGGAAUCUGCCUGGUAGUGGGGGAUAACGCUCGGAAACGGACGCUAAUACCGCAUACGUCCUACGGGAGAAAGCAGGGGACCUUCGGGCCUUGCGCUAUCAGAUGAGCCUAGGUCGGAUUAGCUAGUUGGUGAGGUAAUGGCUCACCAAGGCGACGAUCCGUAACUGGUCUGAGAGGAUGAUCAGUCACACUGGAACUGAGACACGGUCAGACUCCGUACGGAGCAGCAGUGGGAAUAGUGGACAAGUGGGACAAAGCCUAGGACUCCAGCCAUCGCCGCGUUGUGUAGAAGGAAGUCUUCGGAAUUAGGUAAAGUCUAACGUUUAAGGUUGGGUAGGUAAAGGUUU
rnacentral:rRNA from 1 species